rnacentral:tRNA from 1 species
AGCUUUAUAUUCAAUAAUGAUAUAAAAUUGCAAAUUUUAAGGUGUAUUUAAUACUAAGGCUU